GAAUGGUUUCCAUGGGAACCGUUAACUUCCUGAACUGAUGGUAGUUCUGUAAGGUAGCUUAUUUUUUCUGAUAAAAAAGAAGUUUUUAAGAGGGUAUUUCUGGAGGUAAUGGGGGACAAAUCUUCAGUUUGGGGGCAAACUUGCAGGAUAAUUCCUCUGGCUUUUCCCAAAGGACAGGAAAAAGUCUGUGAACUCUGUCAGAGUCCUGCUCGCCUCCAGUGCGCCACGUGCCGAGUCACCUUUUACUGUCAUGCUGAGCAUCAGCGGACCGACUGGGUGGGGAUCCAUGAAAGAAUCUGCAAACUGCUUGUUCCCGUCCGCACAUGCAUGCCAAACAACACGAAAGAAAUUCAGCUCAAAAAGAUGGAGUUGAUAAAGAUUUCCACACUGGUGGCACAAAGCAAGCUUUUUCAGGGCAAACACCAGGAGGCUUUGCCCGCUGCCCAUUUGUGCUCACGAUACACAGAGGAUGUCCACGGCCCACAGUCUGUCCAGCAGGUUCCUGCUUUUCUGCUUCUUGCCGAGGCAAACAUAGGUCUGGGUAAUCUGGCACUUGCAGCAGAGCUCCUGUCCCAGGCAGAGUGGGUGUUGCUGAAGACUCCUGAACACAGUAACUCGCUUACCCAGCAGCUGAACAGGAACUUUGGCCGCCUUCAUGCUGCAACUGGAAACUUGGAAGAUGCUCGGUUCAACUUUGCAAAUGACAUUUUCUUUGCCACCGUGGAGUUUGGCAUGAACAGCACAGUCACUGCUUGCAGCCUGUUUCUCAUGGCUGAUGUUUUCGCCAAAAUGAAGAAAAUGUCCAUCACUCGUUCCAUGUAUCAGGAGGUGGCACGCAUUUGGUGCGACCAUCUGACAAAACUACUGGAAAUCUACAAGAAAAACAUUCCAAAUCCUGCCAUGUUGUCAGAGUCCUUCCACGGUUCGUCCAGUCUAAAUAUAAAUCCAAGCGAGCUGAAGGGGAGCGGAUGUUAGGAGCCAUACUGGAGUUUUUGCAGAAGGACGUCAGUAAAGAUUUAACCCAGAUUGCUCUGGUGACCUACAGUCUGGCUGUCCUGCGGCUCCUGGACGGAGACUCCCACAAGGCUCUGGAGUUUGGCAGCGCGGCCCUGCAGGCCAGCCAGCAGAUAUUAAAGCGUGACCUGACAGACGCCAUCCAGGGUCUCCUGCAGCUGCUGCAGACAAACCCGGAACCUCCAUCGGACUAGCCGCCUCACCUCUGCUGCUUUCUCCUCACUUUUUGAAUGUUUUGCAUGUUUUUUUUUUUUUUUAUCUGUUUAGCUCCAAACAAUCCUCCCUGCAGGAGGGAAACAUUAAAUCACUCCUCUAAAAUGC